ACCUUCACAACUUCAUCAUUUGCCCCAGCAAAAGUAAAAAUAACAGAGCAGAGCAUUGUGGUUACUGGAUUUCGGUCAUGAAACUUGGAAUGAACUGUUUUGGAGAUGAACAUUAAUGAAUACUAAGGUAUAGUGCUAUAAGUGUAAUGGUGAAAUAAACUAC
rnacentral:lncRNA from 1 species